UGGGAUUGUAGCUCAAUUGGUUAGAGUACCGCCCUGUCACGGCGGAAGUUGCGAGUUCGAGUCUCGUCAGUCCCGAC
rnacentral:tRNA from 1 species